rnacentral:rRNA from 1 species
UACGUAGGGUGCAAGCGUUAAUCGGAAUUAUUGGGCGUAAAGGGUAGGUAGGUGGUCUCAUUUGUCAGGGGUGAAAGCCUUGGGCUUAACCCAAGAAGUGCCUCUGAAACGGUGAGACUGGAGUCCUGGAGAGGGUCGUGGAAUUCCCGGUGUAGCGGUGAAAUGCGUAGAGAUCGGGAGGAACACCAGAGGCGAAGGCGGCGACCUGGACAGGUACUGACACUCAACUACGAAAGCGUGGGGAUCAAACAGG